rnacentral:rRNA from 1 species
UACAGAGGGGGCAAGCGUUGUUCGGAAUUACUGGGCGUAAAGGGCGCGUAGGCGGCCUGUUAAGUCGAACGUGAAAUCCCCGGGCUCAACCCGGGAACUGCGUCCGAUACUGGCAGGCUUGAAUCCGGGAGAGGGAUGCGGAAUUCCAGGUGUAGCGGUGAAAUGCGUAGAUAUCUGGAGGAACACCGGUGGCGAAGGCGGUUCUCUGGGCAUGUCCUGACGCUGAGGAGCGAAAGUGUGGGGAGGCAAACAGG